UGCUGUAACUUUCAUCUUUAGGUUCCCGUUCUGCUGGCGCGGUGUCGGGUAGCGGUUUGGGGACCAUUCAGCAGGGCGCCUCUGUUCUCGACCCUGGAAAUGCCAUGAGGUCAGUUAGCUUUGUGCAGCGCGCAGCGAUGGAAUUUAGUGGGAGCCUUUUUCCACACGCGAUCUGCCUCGGGGACGUAGAUAACGACUCGUUAAAUGAACUGGUUGUGGGAGACACCAGUGGAAAGCUGUCUGUGUAUAAGAAUGAUGACAGCCGGCCAUGGCUCACCUGUACCUGCCAGGGGAUGUUGACUUGUGUUGGGGUUGGAGAUGUGUGUAAUAAAGGAAAGAACCUGGUAGUAGCAGUGAGUGCUGAAGGCUGGUUUCAUUUGUUUGACCUGACACUCGCCAAGGUGCUGGAUGCCUCUGGACAACAUGAGGCACUAGUGGGAGAGGAGCAGCGUCCUGUCUUCAAGCAGCACAUCCCAGCCAACACCAAGGUCAUGCUGAUCAGCGACAUUGAUGGAGAUGGGCGUUGUGAACUGGUGGUAGGACACACAGACCGUGUGGUGCGAGCCUUCCGCUGGGAAGAGCUGUCGGAGGGCACUGGACACCUGACAGGACAGCUGGUGUCCCUCAAGAAAUGGAUGCUGGAGGGCCAGGUGGACAGUCUCUCGGUGACCCCAGGGCCACUGGGUGUUCCUGAACUGAUAGUAUCUCAGCCAGGCUGUGCUUACACAGUUCUUCUGUGCACCUGGAACAAGGAUCCUAGAUCCUCUCCUGCCUCUGAGGAGGCCGUGGAGGGCAGUAGAGAGACCACAGCUGCCCAGGAUGUAGUGCUGCACCAGACAUCUGGCCGUAUCCACAACAAGAAUGUCUCUACUCACCUGAUAGGCAACAUCAAACAAGGCCACAGUCCGGAGAGUGGUAGCUCUGGCCUCUUCGCCCUCUGCACCCUGGAUGGGACACUGAAGCUCAUGGAGGAAGCAGACAAGCUGCUGUGGUCCGUGCAGGUGGAUCACCAGCUCUUUGCCCUGGAGAAGUUAGAUAUAUUCCUGUCCCGUGUCAUCACCUUUGCUCGCUGUUUCUGCAGCCACAUUUAUGCCUACACCACCAAGCAGCAGCAGCAACAUCGCAGAGAGAAAAACUUGACCCCAGAACAUCGACAGCAUCUGAAGACAGAAUAA